rnacentral:rRNA from 1 species
AAAAAAGGUAAGCUACUAAGAGCGAAUGGUGGAUGCCUUGACUGGUAAAGGCGAUGAAGGACGUACUAGACUGCGAUAAGCUACGGGGAGCUGUCAAGAAGCUUUGAUCCGUAGAUUUCCGAAUGGGGCAACCCAAUGUAUAGAGAUAUACAUUACCUAUAUAGGAGCGAACGAGGGGAAUUGAAACAUCUUAGUACCCUCAGGAAAAGAAAUCAAUAGAGAUUGCGUCAGUAGCGGCGAGCGAAAGCGCAAGAGGGCAAACCCAGUGCUUGCACUGGGGGUUGUAGGACUGCAAUGUGCAAGAGGUAAGUUUAGCAGAACAUUCUGGAAAGUAUAACCAUAGAGGGUGAUAGUCCCGUAUGCGAAAAACAAACCUUAGCUAGCAGUAUCCUGAGUAGGGCGGGACACGAGGAAUCCUGUCUGAAUCCGGGUCGACCACGAUCCAACCCUAAAUACUAAUACCAGAUCGAUAGUGCACAAGUACCGUGAGGGAAAGGUGAAAAGAACUGAGGUGAUCAGAGUGAAAUAGAACCUGAAACCAUUUGCUUACAAUCAUUCAGAGCCCUAUGUAGCAAUACAGGGUGAUGGACUGCCUUUUGCAUAAUGAGCCUGCGAGUUGUGGUGUCUGGCAAGGUUAAGCAAACGCGAAGCCGUAGCGAAAGCGAGUCUGAAUAGGGCGCUUAGUCAGAUGCUGCAGACCCGAAACGAAGUGAUCUAUCCAUGAGCAAGUUGAAGCUAGUGUAAGAACUAGUGGAGGACUGAACCCAUAGGCGUUGAAAAGCCCCGGGAUGACUUGUGGAUAGGGGUGAAAGGCCAAUCAAACUUCGUGAUAGCUGGUUCUCUCCGAAAUAUAUUUAGGUAUAGCGUUGUGUCGUAAUAUAAGGGGGUAGAGCACUGAAUGGGCUAGGGCAUACACCAAUGUACCAAACCCUAUCAAACUCCGAAUACCUUAUAUGUAAUCACAGCAGUCAGGCGGCGAGUGAUAAAAUCCGUCGUCAAGAGGGAAACAACCCAGACUACCAGCUAAGGUCCCUAAAUCUUACUUAAGUGGAAAACGAUGUGAAGUUACUUAAACAACCAGGAGGUUGGCUUAGAAGCAGCCAUCCUUUAAAGAAAGCGUAAUAGCUCACUGGUCUAGUGAUUUUGCGCGGAAAAUAUAACGGGGCUAAAGUAAGUACCGAAGCUGUAGACUUGCACACAACUUAGAUUAUUUAAGUUUAGAAUAUGAGAAACUAAGUUAUAUGUUUAGUUAUAUUUUUACUGAUUUUUAUAGAGUAAAGAUAGAAAUAAAACUUAGUAAAAUCAGUAAAAAUAUUCUUAGACUAAAGUUAAGUAGUUUAAGUUGUGUGCAAGUGGUAGGAGAGCGUUCUAUUUGCGUCGAAGGUAUACCGGUAAGGAGUGCUGGAGCGAAUAGAAGUGAGCAUGCAGGCAUGAGUAGCGAUAAUUAAUGUGAGAAUCAUUAACGCCGUAAACCCAAGGUUUCCUACGCGAUGCUCGUCAUCGUAGGGUUAGUCGGGUCCUAAGUCGAGUCCGAAAGGGGUAGACGAUGGCAAAUUGGUUAAUAUUCCAAUACCAACAUUAGUGUGCGAUGGAAGGACGCUUAGGGCUAAGGGGGCUAGCGGAUGGAAGUGCUAGUCUAAGGUCGUAGGAGGUUAUACAGGCAAAUCCGUAUAACAAUACUCCGAGAACUGAAAGGCUUUUUGAAGUCUUCGGAUGGAUAGAAGAACCCCUGAUGCCGUCGAGCCAAGAAAAGUUUCUAAGUUUAGCUAAUGUUGCCCGUACCGUAAACCGACACAGGUGGGUGGGAUGAGUAUUCUAAGGCGCGUGGAAGAACUCUC